rnacentral:rRNA from 1 species
UAUCCUUUGUUGCCAGCGGUCCGGCCGGGAACUCAAAGGAGACUGCCAGUGAUAAACUGGAGGAAGGUGGGGAUGACGUCAAGUCAUCAUGGCCCUUACGACCAGGGCUACACACGUGCUACAAUGGCGCAUACAAAGAGAAGCGACCUCGCGAGAGCAAGCGGACCUCAUAAAGUGCGUCGUAGUCCGGAUUGGAGUCUGCAACUCGACUCCAUGAAGUCGGAAUCGCUAGUAAUCGUGGAUCAGAAUGCCACGGUGAAUACGUUCCCGGGCCUUGUACACACCGCCCGUCACACCAUGGGAGUGGGUUGCAAAAGAAGUAGGUAGCUUAACCUUCGGGAGGGCGCUUACCACUUUGUGAUUCAUGACUGGGGUGAAGUCGUAACAAGGUAACCGUAGGGGAACCUGCGGUUGGA